ACUGAAUAUAAGAGCGAUGUGUGGGGCAAGCCGGACACGGGCACUCUCUCCCACUCCACUCUUCCCCUACACCCACAGCCCCGCAAAUGGUAGCAAGACAAUGGUGUAACUAUCGAUGCAAGACAGAACCAGCUAAAGAAAAUGCUCCACACACAGAGACCUACAUCAAAACUCCAAAUUUCCCAAGACCGUCUAUCUCCACAUAGUGCCUGCUGCCACUGAUCCACUUAAAACAGCGCCAGCGCCGACUUCUGAGCCUACAGACAACAAAGCUGCCUUCCUCCAAAAACCUCAUCUGACUGAAGACUCCUGAGACACAUGAAGAACCCCACAGAAGACAGACUUGGGACCUUCCAGCUACAGAUGAACUCUCUUGCCAAAGCCAAUGGCUGCUGAAAUUAGGGAAAGUUACAUGAUAGCAAAGAAAACAUAAUGUCUAUCUAGAUUAAUUAAUUGCUGUUCAAAAUUGGUGUUAUUACCCUCAAAUUGUACUACCCAUGGAACAAGUAAUUGAUUGUACAAUCUCUUGCCUUCCCAACCCUUACCCUUAACCCUCUUUACUACUCUGGCUUUGUUGUGCUACUUCUCUAGGCUGUAUGUUUUCUUCUGAUACUUCCACCCCACCCUAAAUUUUCAUCACAAAUGACACAGGCACACCAGUGAGCCCCCCCUCCCUUUUUUAUAAAAACAAAAGGGGGAUUUAUGGGGCAGGUGUUUAAUGAUUGCACAUAUAUACAUUCAUAGAAACCCUAUAAGGAAAAGAUGUUCACAUUUGUUUAAACCUGGAUAUUAUUUUGAAAAACACUGACACAUAGCAGGGUGGUUAUAACUGAAUGAAUGAAUGGAUGAAUGAAUGAAUGAAUGAAUGAGCUCUGUAUAUAUUCUAUCCAUUCUACCAUCAAAGAAAACUUUCUGUCAUUUGGUCACAAAGUAGGUAACUCUUCAUGUUCCUCUUUCUGUGUUUGUUUACUGAGAGUUCUAAUCCUUAUGCUAUGAAUUUCCCACAGUUUGAACCUAGUUAAUGGGCACAGGUUGGUUCCGUUCCUUCACUACUGGGUCAUAUGCCUUGCUGGUACUAUUCUACUAAUUUUGUCCUUCAGGUUCACAUUCAAGCUGAUGUCUGUAGGAAAAUAAUUACAAUGAGGGUAGACAAAUUUUCUAGUCUCUUGAUUUGAGAUAGUAGUGCUGAGGAAAUCAUAUUAUCUUUCUCAACCUGCACUUUCUUACUUCCAUUUCAACAAGCCCCUCCCCUACUUUUGCUAAGCAGGAACACAGCAGAAGGAAACAUGCUUCUUUCUAUCAUGUUGGCUCACUGGGAACAUCCUAGCACUGAAAAAGCCUCCACUUACUCUUGACCCUGACAUGAAGAUGAAGCUGAUAUAAUGAUUCUAAGAUGCUUUCCUGAUUUUACCUCUUAUGAUGGUUCCUAACCAAAAUCUUUAAUAUUGAUAAUCACAUAGUUUUCACAAUACAAGAAUGAUGUCAAAU
ensembl:antisense Gm44000 predicted gene, 44000